AGUCUUUUCUUGUCUGGAACGCAUGCGACCGGAGGUCGGAGAUGACUCGCUUAAUCUCUUCCUUAGGCCUGUGCUUCUGCAUUUUACGUGGUUUUUUAAAACAAUAGUGGUGUAUAGAUUCAAGAAAGUUUCGAUAGUUUGGAAAAGUGAUAUUUGGGUUCAAGAAUAGUUUAGAACGACGGGAUAAUUUCUACAUUUAAAGCGCAUACAGUACGUAUCUCCAAUUUUCAUCAUCCAAAAGCUCGUCUGAAAUAACUGAAAAAUGGUCUUUCUAUAAAAAUCCAUCUGGAUAUAGACUGAUUGACAUGGAUUUUACGUUGGCGUUCAAUAGUAUGUCUAGCAAGGAUGGAUUGUUGGAAGGAUUGGAUAAGUCAUGGGAAAAACUGUUCCUAAAGAUGGAAAAUCACGUAAAGGAUAA